UUAUUCUGAAACCAUCAGAUGUCAUAGAAGACAAAAGAGAAGCAAUUAUGUCCUGUUUGAUCUCGGAAACUAAGCAGGGUUGGGUCUGGUUAGUACUUGGAUGGGAGACCACCUAGGAAGACCAGGU
rnacentral:rRNA from 1 species